ensembl:lncRNA
AGUUAGAAAGCAGUCAUCCACCAACCUAUUUUAAACUGCCUUAGAGAUAAUGGGCUUCCCAGGUGGUGCUCGUAGUAAGGAAUCCACCUGCUAAUGCAGGAGAUGCAGGAGAUGUGGGUUCAAUCCCUGGGUCGGCAAGAUCCCCUGGAGGAGGAAAUGCCAACCCACUCCAGUAUUCUUGCCUGGAGAAUUUCAUGAACAGAGGAGCCUGGUGGUCUACAGCUCAUGGGGUUGCAAACAGUUCUACACGAAUGAGCACACACACAAAGAACCCAAUUAAGAGGGUGGGCUCUAGCUUUUCCUAUUGAAGACAUCCAUCAGAAAGGCUGAGCACACAGUAGGUGUUCAAUGAAUGUGUUUUGGAUGGAGGUACAAAUGAUGACUAACAGCCAAUAUGGGACUCAGGAUGUUGAUUUCUUCGUUGGACACACAGCCUCUGUACGAAUCUUGCUGACUGACUGCAAAGGAAAUGUCACCAACUGUCAGAGACACAGCAACACAUUGCUCAAGCAUAUGUGCCAGGGAAGCCAGAAACUUGUUAUUGUAUGCAUGAGAAAUCACAACCAACACAGCCAAAGAAAUUCUCUUGGAUUCUUCACUGGACUCCAACAAUGUAUUUAUAUAUGUUUCCUCCUCUCAUGAGUUGACAAGGUCCUUAAGGUCAUGGGGCAGGAUUAUAACCCUGGCUUGGUGGUAUUCCUCCCCCUGUGCCUCCUUGCUGGUUCUCCAAGGCUUUUUUCUUCCCACAGGCUUGACUCACUCACUUUGGAAGCUGCAGCAAACACUUUAAUACUCAGAGAAAGAGAUUUCUGGCUCAAAGAUUUUAGGUGCAUGUUUUUGGAUGAGUUUCUCUACUCCCUAGAACUUGAUGAACCUCUGGCUAGGGGACAGAGGAAAGGAGAGGGAGGCUCCAUUUAGACCUGUAGCUGAUUCUGUUCUAAGGUCACUUUGGGUGCUAUGCAGAGGAAGCUACCGACAGCCAGCAGCCAGCUCAUCUGCCGCUGGGUCCAGUUUGAAGUGACAGGAGUUGGUGUCUUGGAGACUCUGGCUAGUUCUGUUCACAAGUGUCCACCAGUCUAUUGCAUAGAGGAAACCUCCAUGUUCUGCUCUAGAAUUCCCUUCAAACACUCAAACAAGGAUGUGAGGCAGGGACUUCACUAUGAGCUGAUAGUGGUACAUUCAUAAAACAUCGAUCAAGACAGGACAGCAUAGAAACUGUUGGAACUUACCUUAUGAGCCAUGGCACCUAUGGACAGCAUCUUCAUUUCCAGUAAGGAUGAGUUCUAGAAUCAGACUGCAUGAGUUCUAGUUCUAUUUCUGUCCUAACCCCACCAUUUUCCAGCUGUAUGACCUUGGAUAUAUUUCUCAACCCAUCUUGUCAUCUUUUCAGUGAUAACUAAUGUUCUUGAGUUAUAUGCAACAGAAACUUGCUCUAACUUAUGCAAAAAUAGUUAAUUAUGAUGACAUCAUGGAUUUGAAGGCAGCAUGCAUAGGACAUUAAGAAGAAGGAAGCCCAGAUUAUGUCUUGAUCAGAGAAGUCUGGUUUGAAUGCAGCCCGUUUUGAUCUCAUUCUCUCCCUGCCCAAUAUUCAGAUUCCAGGGAGGGAGCAUUGCUUGGUUUAGAAGCCUGGGUUACAUUUUGACACUUGGCUGGGGAGGGUGGUGCCUUUGUCUAAUGGUCCCAACUACAGAAUGUCUCUGGGAAGGAUAAUUUCUCAAGAGAAACAGUGGCUGUUAAGAACUGUGGAUUCUAGGCAGUUUUCAAACAAACAAACAAACAAACAAAAUGCCUAUUGUAUUAAUUAACUUACAUGAUUUGCAGAAACAUUAAGAUGAGGUAAUGCAUGUAAAGCUCUUAGCACAGUGCUUGGAAUGAGAGUAUUCGCUCAAUAAAUGUUAGCUGUUAUCAUCCACUGGAGUGUAGGCACCAUGAGACCAGACAUAGUGUCCCUAUGUGUCCACCACAGCUGAGUAAUAUUAAUGAGUCAUUGAAUAGUUGAUGAAUGAGUGAACGAGUGACUGUCAGUAUGUAAGCAAUGUGUUUUACUGUAUGUUUACAAAAUUCAUAGUAUAUCCAAAUCCAGAUGCAAAAUGUGAACAGUGGGAUUUGCCAUUUCUCUUGUUUUGUUUUAACGAUCAGGAAACAUUUAAGUUAAAAGGUCCAUAUCCUUGACGCCUGAAGUAAAUUCCACAAUGGAAAUUUGUGGAUAUUUUAACAUCAGUGCUUCUAGUUAUCCCUGGAAGCG